rnacentral:siRNA from 1 species
UAUGGGGGUCUCUGUCACGAG